rnacentral:tRNA from 2 species
GCGGGUGUAGCUCAGCUGGUAGAGUGUCUCCUUCCCAAGGAGAAGGUCACGGGUUCGAACCCCGCCACCCGCUCCA